GAUGAACGCUGGCGGCGUGCCUAAUACAUGCAAGUCGAGCGAAUGGAUUGAGAGCUUGCUCUUAUGAAGUUAGCGGCGGACGGGUGAGUAACACGUGGGUAACCUGCCCAUAAGACUGGGAUAACUCCGGGAAACCGGGGCUAAUACCGGAUAACAUUUUGAACCGCAUGGUUCGAAAUUGAAAGGCGGCUUCGGCUGUCACUUAUGGAUGGACCCGCGUCGCAUUAGCUAGUUGGUGAGGUAACGGCUCACCAAGGCAACGAUGCGUAGCCGACCUGAGAGGGGGGUCGGCCACACUGGGACUGAGACACGGCCCAGACUCCUGCGGGAGGCAGGAGUAGGGAAUCUUCCGCAAUGGAGGAAAGUCUGACGGAGCAACGCCGCGUGAGUGAUGAAGGCUUUCGGGUCGUAAAACUCUGUUGUUAGGGAAGAACAAGUGCUAGUUGAAUAAGCUGGCACCUUGACGGUACCUAACCAGAAAGCCACGGCUAACUACGUGCCAGCCGCCGCGGUAA
rnacentral:rRNA from 1 species